rnacentral:tRNA from 1 species
GCACUCAGAAAUGGGCCAGGGUCGCGAAGACCCACGCGUGCCCGCGCUUCCCUUGUAAGGAGGGGGUCGACGGUUCGAGUCCGUCAGAGGGCU